CACGAGAUCUAUUCCAGUCUCAAUCAAACUUGCGCCCAUCCCACGUGCAUAGUGAAUUCCUUGCACCGAGGCGGCGCAGACAAGGGACAUCUUUAUCAUAAAUAAUGAUGCUGUUAUCAAGCCGCCUACACCUACACAACACAGCGCACAGCUCAGUCGAGUCUCCGCGAUCGUCGCACGCGCAUUGUUGACAAGCGAAGCCAUCCGCGCGCCGACACCAUAAUGAACGUAACCAUGAACACUGACGUUAUAAUGACUUCCGAAGGCAUGGACGGCGUUUUGCGUGCGAAAAUAAUAACCAUGGUGACGCUGUUCAGUGUGUCCAUGCUGUUCGGAUGCUUGCCGAUGCUUCUUUCCCUGAGAUUUGACUGGUUCACGAAAAGCACCGGGGAUGUGCGGAAUUCUAAUCAGUUUGUGAUGGGGCUGCUGGCGUUUGGUGGUGGUGUGCUAUUUGCCACCACGUUUAUGCAUUUGCUGCCGGAGGUGGACUUAAAUAUACAGCUGCUUCAAGAGGCUGGUGAUCUCGCAGACUUACCGCUGUACCUGGCCGCCCUGAUAAUGUGCGGUGGAUUCUUCAUGAUGUAUCUAAUAGAAGAGCUAGUCCACGUCUACAUUAAUAGUAGAGAGAAUAAGACUGCGAAUACUAGCUUUACUAGAGUGCUUAGUAUUAGGAGAACGAAUGCUCCUGAAGGUGAAGAGCCUUUGAAGGAGGUGAGCGUCCCUAGUGGGCACGGGCACAGCCACGCGCCGCUGGUGUCCGGAGACGACGCCGUGGCGGUGACGCUGAGGGGGCUCCUGAUUGUGCUGGCGCUGUCCAUCCACGAGCUCUUCGAGGGGCUGGCUGUGGGGCUCGAGGCUUCCGCUGCUAAUGUAUGGUACAUGUUCGGCGCAGUCUCGGCUCACAAGUACAUCAUCGCCUUCUGCAUCGGUGUGGAGCUCAUAGCGGCUGGAACCAAGCGCUGGCUGUCUUUGGUCUACAUCUUCACGUUUUCCUUCGUCUCCGCGCUGGGUAUCGGAGUAGGGAUCUUGCUGGUCGGCGGAGCUGGCGCGGCUGAGGCUGGACUAUACUCGGUUAUACUGCAGAGCUGAUAGCGGCUGGAACCAAGCGCUGGCUGUCUUUGGUCUACAUCUUCACGUUUUCCUUCGUCUCCGCGCUGGGUAUCGGAGUAGGGAUCUUGCUGGUCGGCGGAGCUGGCGCGGCUGAGGCUGGACUAUACUCGGUUAUACUGCAGGGCCUGGCCUGCGGUACGCUGCUGUACGUGGUGUUCU
rnacentral:misc_RNA from 1 species